CUAAUACCGGAUAAUAUAUUGAACCGCAUGGUUCAAUAGUGAAAGACGGUUUUGCUGUCACUUAUAGAUGGAUCCGCGCCGCAUUAGCUAGUUGGUAAGGUAACGGCUUACCAAGGCAACGAUGCGUAGCCGACCUGAGAGGGUGAUCGGCCACACUGGAACUGAGACACGGUCCAG
rnacentral:rRNA from 1 species